AUCUCACCGCUUUUACGGUAAUUGCUAUCCAAAAGAGUCCAGGGAGAAGGCAGCAUCUCAUGUGCAUAUCAAACAGAUGUGAGACACAAUCUACACAGAUGUGGGUAUUGGACAUGCAAGCUGUCAUCAAGUCUAUAGAGAGAAAACUGAAUGCUUCACUGGAGAAAUGCCCUCGCCGUGAAUGUGCAAAUGAUUUGACGGCAAGAGACAAAACAAAUGGCAUGUGUUUGUCCUGGACGGACACUCAAAGGAAGCAGGCUUCAGCCUAGUGUCUGAUGAUGGGUUUACCAUGUUUACUGAUCUUUAGAUUGAUAAAUAGAUACUUGUUGAUACUUUGCAGGAAAUGACUUUGUUGCAGCAGCCACAUUUACAUUCGUAGGCUAAAAUAAGAGAAAAUUAAAAGUUGGAAACAAAUAAAUAAAAUAAACAACCUCCAAUGUAUGUGUUAUUGACACUUCAUAUCAAUAAAUAGUACUCUGAAGCCUUUGUUUGGAAUUUUGUCAUAUAACUGCAAACUUUGGUUUUCUGUGAUGGACACAGUCUGUCUUAAUUUUCUUUAAGCUAAAUCACAACGAUUAGUCUCCAGUGGACGGGAUCUGUUCAGUUUUUCAUCAUAUGUGAGCUGGAUCAUUUCAUUUACCGGCAAGCUCUUGUUUUUGCCCUAUUGGAUGACCUAAAUGCUUUACUUCUCGUUGUUCUAAGUGUUGUUUUCCUGUUUCAUAGCAGCGUGCAUACAUUAACAUUCCCCUGGAAGCAAAAGGCAGCAGUUAUUUUGCAAACAACAAGACUAAAAGCACCACUGUGACAAGAACAUGGUGGAGUGUUACAUGCAUCCACUCUAUUAAAAAGUCUA